UACGAAGGGGGCUAGCGUUGCUCGGAUUGACUGGGCGUAAAGGGCGCGUCGGCGGUUCGUAAAGUCAGACGUGAAAUUCCUGGGCUCAACCUGGGGGCUGCGUUUGAUACGUGCGGACUUGAGUGCGGAAGAGGGUCGCGGAAUUCCCGGUGUAGAGGUGAAAUUCGUAGAUAUUCGCAAGAACACCAGUGGCGAAGGCGGCUCACUGGCCCGGUACUGACGCUGAGGCACGAAAGCGUGGGGAGCAAACAGG
rnacentral:rRNA from 1 species